UAGGGAAGUCCUGUACGACCAGCUCCCUCCUAACUCCCCCAGGUCUUGACCGAAGCAAGGGUACGAGGUUGUAGCGGUGCGAUGCAGAUAGCUUCCCU
rnacentral:SRP_RNA from 1 species